rnacentral:lncRNA from 1 species
UCGACUCCUAGAACUGUGAGUAAACUUAUUAUCGUCUUAAUUAUCUAGAGUAGUUUUACACAAUUGUGUGAUUUUAUAGAAAAUAGGUUUAAAUGGUAAAUUGCUAUGUUUUAGGAGAAAUUGUGAUUUUAUAAAGUGAUUUUAUAAAUUUUCUGAAAAAUUGAAUACUGGUUUCGAAAAUAAAGUAAUUGGAGACUGCCCGCUUGUGUUAUAAAUUGUGUAUUAAAUUAUAUGGCUUAUAGCAAUAUGUGAGCAUGAAUGGCAAAGUUGGUAUUUGUAUCAAAAUUAUAUAUAUACUAUGUAUUCAGCCUUGAGAGACUAGAUUGCGAUAAAUUGUCAUGUCAUGCAGAUAAAGAUUUUAUAAAUCAAGUGGUAGAUAAAAUAAUCCAUAAUCCCUGCAGUGGAGGUUUUGUGGAUCAGCCUAAGAGAGGGGGCACAGAAUCAGAUAUACCUUACCUCGAUCGGAGAGUCGUGUGGAGGGUUUCUUUGGAGGUAAAGAUUUGAGUGCACUUCACGUGGACCACCGCGUGAGAGUGAGACUCAGCCAACACCAAGGCAUGGCUAGAAUUUCAAAUGUAAAGAUAUUUAAUAGCCUUGGUGGUCUCGGUGAGAUGCCUAGGCCAAGGCAUCCCCGAGAAUGAUUUUGGCAAGAGCCAAAUUUUGUAAGAUAUAUAAGUCAUGUUGAUUAAUUG